rnacentral:rRNA from 1 species
UACGAAGGGGGCUAGCGUUGUUCGGAUUUACUGGGCGUAAAGCGCACGUAGGCGGACUAUUAAGUCAGGGGUGAAAUCCCGGGGCUCAACCCCGGAACUGCCUUUGAUACUGGUAGUCUUGAGUUCGAGAGAGGUGAGUGGAAUUCCGAGUGUAGAGGUGAAAUUCGUAGAUAUUGGGAAGAACACCGGUGGCGAAGGCGGCGACCUGGUCCGAUACUGACGCUGAGGCGCGAAAGCGUGGGGAGCAAACAGG